ensembl:lncRNA
AGAGUUGAUGGAGCAAGAAACAAAUGUUUAUAUUAUUCAAAGAUGGAAAGGAAACCAAUAAGAAUAAAAAUCAUAGCGUAAAUAUCCAACAUUCGGAGGAGAUGACCUGGGGGAGAUGAGAGCACAUGAGUUAAAGCCUCCGCGUUCACGUGGUUCCAAUAGGUCUUCAGUAGUUACCACUUUAUGCGGUGAGACAUCGUGGUCUUAGUGAAGCAUUCGCUUUAGUUUCUUAAGAAAAAAGAGAAGAAGCCAGAGACUUUAAAAGUGAUUGUCCCAGGGUUUCCUGGUGGUCCAGUGGUGAAGAAUCUGCCUUGCAAUGCAAGGGACACCAGUUUGAUCCCUGAUCCAGGAAGACCCCACGUGCCACGGAGCGACUCAGCCCACAGCUGCUGAGCCUGUGCUCCAGAGCCCGGGGAACCACAACUGCUGAGCCUGUGCUCCAGAGCCUGUGCUCCGCAGGAGGAGAAGCCACCCACAGUGAGAUGUUCUUGCACCAAAACAAAGAGAAAGCCCCGCUUGCCGCAACUAGAGAAAGCCCACACACAGCAACGAAGACCCACCACUGCCAAAAAAUAAAAUAAAUAAAUGUAUGUAGUUUUUUAAACGAUUGUCCCAGGAAGAGCCAUAAUAGGUGGUACAGGGUGGAAAGAGCUCAGGCGGUUCACAGGAAACCUGAGCUUGGCAAUCCCACGUGAAGCAGCUGGUGCUCUUAUUUUCUUGUUGUCAGCCUUCCUCCAGCAUCCAUGAGUCACAGCGUUGUCUCACGGGGUGAUAACCCCUCUCCGCAGGAGCACCCUCCCCAUUCUCUAUCUUGUUUACAGCUCUGGCAGGAUGCUCUGGUUGGGAUCAGUGGGGAUAUGGGAAGGCCUUUCCUUCCGGAGUGUCAGCCAUCAGCGCCCACUGCUGUGGGAUCGUCCAUCCAGAGACUGAGCAGUGAGCGAUGGGAGGCCCGAGGGCAUGGCUGGAGGUGAAUGUCAGCGUCCUCCGUCUUGACCAUCACAGCCACGAUUUCACAGUGCCUGUGAGAUGUGAACGGGCGAAGCGGAGCGUGUUGGAAAGAGCACGUCCUUAGGAGUAAGAGGCUCUGAGACUCAGGAAAUAAUCAUCGGCCCAUCAACUCCUUCCUUCAUCAAAAAUUCAUGGAGUCCUUCCUAUGUGACAUGCUCCGUUCUAGAUGUCAACAUUUAUUGUAUCAUUUAGUUUAUUGUUAACUCACUUACACCCAGAGCUGUGC